UUGCAUUAACAGCACACGUACUUAAGUUGGAAUGAUACAGAGAAGAUUAUCAUGGCACUUGUGUUAAGGAUGACACAAAUUCAUGAAGUGUCCAUGUUUUUU